rnacentral:rRNA from 1 species
CAGUCGCCGCGGGAAUACGUAUGUCACAAGCGUUAUCCGGAUUUAUUGGGCGUAAGGCGCGUCUAGGUGGUUAUGUAAGUCUGAUGUGAAAAUGCAGAGCUCAACUCUGUAUUGCGUUGGAAACUGUGUAACUAGAGUACUGGAGAGGUAAGCGGAACUACAAGUGUAGAGGUGAAAUUCGUAGAUAUUUGUAGGAAUGCCGAUGGGGAAGCCAGCUUACUGGACAGAUACUGACGCUGAAGCGCGAAAGCGUGGGUAGCAAACAGGAUUAGAUACCCCGGUAGUCCCUGUCUCUUAUACA